AGAGAUGCAUUGGGCUUAAAGCGUGCGCAGGCGGUUUGUAAGACAGAGGUGAAAUCCCCGGGCUCAACCUGGGAACUGCCUUUGUGACUGCAAGGCUGGAGUGCGGCAGAGGGGGAUGGAAUUCCGCGUGUAGCAGUGAAAUGCGUAGAUAUGCGGAGGAACACCGAUGGCGAAGGCAAUCCCCUGGGCCUGCACUGACGCUCAUGCACGAAAGCGUGGGGAGCAAACA
rnacentral:rRNA from 1 species